CCCAGGGAGAACUCCAAUGGCGUCUGCCAGCGUCUGUGUCAGCACGCCCACACCAGGCCACAACAAUGGCCUCCGCCAAUGUCCCAGUCCCUGGAGAGGUCUCAUUUCUCACCGAGAUGCACUCAGAGCUUAGUGAGUGCACCAAUAGCAGUCAGAGACUACUAUCAGGUACAGAAUCACUUCACGGAUGUUAAUAUAUUUAUCAACUCAGUUUAUGAUAGUCCUGGAAAUUUCUUCAUAUCAAACAGUGCCCCAGUACAUGGUUGUAUAUCACAGUUGUAGAGUUGUAGCUCUUCUGUAUGGGAUGGCGCCUCAGCAUGGCUUGAUGAGCGGAGAAAAACAUUUAAACUGCAAAGAGUGAAACUAACAUGAGUAAAAGAGAACUGAAGCUCAAGAAGGUGGGGAGCCCUUUGCUUCUUCACAUGAGUGAAACUAUGCACUCUUGGAUGAAGUACUUUUCAAGGAGGAAGCAUCCUUAGCAGUUUUCCUUGGUGUUGGACAAUUCAAUACUUCUUUCAGAAGUAACUCCUGUCUUUCUUGGAGCUUGGCUUUGCACAACAAGUAUAUCUUCACUUAGAUCUUUGGAACAAUUAUUAUAAGCCUAAAUGACCCAUACUGAUGAUAUAUUUUAUAAAACAGCAGUUCUUCCUCCUGGUUCUGUGCUCUUAGGUAUAAAUUUACAUAAUUUUCGUACUGAUUGUAGCUGGAUGGUCCUAUAAAGAGGUCAUCGGGCCUGCUCUUUGCUUGUAAGCAAUUUGAGUUGCCAAGCCUCUAUUAGAACCCAUUUCUCUCAUUUUUCUGUAAAGUUUCAUAAUUGUAAAAUACUCGUCCAAAACUAAAGAUUAAAAAUGGAAAGUCUAACAACACUGUAGAAGUCAGAACAAUGAAU